rnacentral:tRNA from 1 species
UGCGGGGUGGAGCAGUGGUAGCUCGUCGGGCUCAUAACCCGAAGGUCGCAGGUUCGAAUCCUGCCCCCGCGA